CCUACGGGAGGCAGCAGUGGGGGAUAUUGCACAAUGGGGGAAACCCUGAUGCAGCGAAGUCGCGUGAGUGAAGAAGGAGUUCGGGAUGGAAAGCUCUAUCAGCAGGGAAGAAAAUGACAGUACCUGACCAAGAAGCCCCGGCUAACUACGUGACAGCAGCCGCGGUAAUACGUAGGGGGCAAGCGUUAUCCGGAUUUACUGGGUGGAAAGGGGGCGUAGACGGCAGCACAAGUCUGGAGUGAAAUGCCGGGGCUUAACCCCGGGACUGCUUUGGAAACUGUGCAGCUAGAGUGCAGGAGAGGUAAGUGGAAUUCCUGGUGUAGCGGUGAAAUGCGUAGAUAUUAGGAGGAACACCAGUGGCGAAGGCAGCUUACUGGACUGUAACUGACGUUGAGGCUCGAAAGCGUGGGGAGCAAACAGGAUUAGAUACCCGUGUAGUC
rnacentral:rRNA from 1 species